rnacentral:rRNA from 1 species
CCCAGUAAACGGCGGCCGUAACUAUAACGGUCCUAAGGUAGCGAAAUUCCUUGUCGGGUAAGUUCCGACCCGCACGAAAGGCGUAACGAUUUGGGCACUGUCUCAACAACAGACUCGGUGAAAUUGUAAUUCCGGUGAAGAUGCCGGAUACCUGCGACAGGACGGAAAGACCCCAUGGAGCUUUACUGUAGCUUGACAUUGGGUCUUGGUACUACAUGUACAGGAUAGGUGGGAGGCUUUGAAACCAGGACGCCAGUUUUGGCGGAGCCAUCCUUGGGAUACCACCCUUGUAGUACUGGGACUCUAACCAUAGGCCAUGAAUCUGGUCUUGGGACACUGUCAGGUGGGCAGUUUGACUGGGGCGGUCGCCUCCCAAAAGGUAACGGAGGCGCUCAAAGGUUCUCUCAGUACGGUCGGAAAUCGUACGUAGAGUGUAAAGGCAAAAGAGAGCUUGAUUGCAAGACAUACAGGUCGAGCAAGGAUGAAAAUCGGACUUAGUGAUCCGGUGGUUCUGCGUGGAAGGGCCAUCGCUCAACGGAUAAAAGCUACCCUGGGGAUAACAGGCUUAUCUCCCCCAAGAGUCCACAUCGACGGGGAGGUUUGGCACCUCGAUGUCGGCUCAUCACAUCCUGGGGCUGUAGUAGGUCCCAAGGGUUGGGCUGUUCGCCCAUUAAAGUGGUACGCGAGCUGGGUUCAGAACGUCGUGAGACAGUUCGGUCCCUAUCCGUCGCAGGCGUAGGAAAUUUGAGAAGACCUGUCCUUAGUACGAGAGGACCGGGAUGGACGUACCUCUGGUGUACCAGUUGUCCUGCCAAGGGCAUGGCUGGGUAGCUAUGUACGGAAUGGAUAAGCGCUGAAAGCAUCUAAGCGCGAAGCCAACUUCAAGAUAAGAUUUCCCACCGCAAGGGUAAGACCCCAGAAAGACUAUCUGGUUGAUAGGUCGAAGGUGUAAGUGCAGCAAUGUAUUUAGCUUAUCGAUACUAAUAGGUCGAGGACUUGACCAA